AAUAAGUGCAGUUUUGCACUAUUCACGUUUAACGUUUGACUGUUCGUCUUAUUUGAAAAAUUUUUAUGAUUAGUAUUUUUAUUGCUAUUAGAUGAUAAAACAUGAAUAUUACUUUAUGUGUGACUAAAUAUUUUCAGUAUUUUCAUAAAUUUUUCAAAUAAGACGAACGGUUAAACGUUGGGCACGGAUAUCCACGGCUGCACUUAUU
rnacentral:pre_miRNA from 1 species